UUUAUCUCAGCCAUGCCAGAGACAGAUUGGCUUUCUUUGUUUCUUGGAAUCUUUACUAGGUGGUUGCUUUAUUGUUUUUCUCUUUUCCUCUUGGGUAACUGCAAAUGGGUUGAAGUGUUGUUUGACUCAUUCAUUAACAUGCCCAUGAAUAGAAUAAGGAGAAAAGCACUGGAGAUUCUUCAGAGAGUUUUGUGAGACAAAACAACUACUUUCCACUCCAAGCAACAUCAGACUGUGAACCCAGGGAUCCAGCAAGACUCAUGGGGCAUCUGAACAAGGCAUCAUCAGGAGAACUUAUUACAUAGCUUCUGAUUCAGUAUGUUGCUGAAGAGCCAAGGACUGUCCAGUUGAAGCAAUCUCCCUGAUGAUACUGGCACUGCUAACCCCAGGACCACACAGACCAGCAAUGCCUCACAAGACCUCUGUGCUUCUUUCAAACAUUAUAUUCUACAAAGUCAUGUCAAUUGCUUUACCAGUCAUGUGGCUUGAAUAAAGAGUAGCAGCCAUGGAGCAUGGGGUGAGAAGUCGCUGGAAGGACAAGUUGACAGAUAGGACUUGGGUCGCUGGGUCACCGCGAGGCGUCGUGAUCUGGACUCAGACAGGGCGAUUUCCUCGGUGAUUUUAAUCUUUUCGUCUGUUCACACGCCAUGCCACCUGGACAUAAUGCAGAGAAAUCUGGAGGCUUAACAAAGUUUUCCCCUUGCCCCAAAGCUCACCCAGGGAAGAGGGGAGGAGACAGGGAAAGAGAAUUAACCCUUUCCCUGUCGUCUCCAGCCAGGGCAGCAAACCUGGCCCCGCCUUGCAGACAAUUCCAGAUCUUUGA
rnacentral:lncRNA from 1 species